GGCUGGGGGAAAACAGCUCCACGUUAUACUGGGGAAUGAAUGUUCCACAUGCAGCACCCCCACACAUUGAAUGGAACCACGCACACACAUUCUGUUCAGCUGUUGUGGCUGUCCCGAGGUCACAGAGGUGAGAAACACAUGAAUGAACAACUUCUACCUCUUAAAGAGAAGGAAGAAGCAGAAAUAAGGAAAAAGAUACAAGGGAGGGACUCAAGUACACCUGUAUCAUAUAACCUGUGCCAGUAUGGUUUAGCACAACCAUGACAAACUCUAAUUUCUGUAUCCUCUUCUAAAAACCCUGGGAUGUUAUUAAUUGCAAAAAGGUCUCGGACAUGGGAGGAAGAGAAAGAGUUCACAACCAGGCAACUUACCACAAUUCCCAGUGCUUUCAGGAUGUUCAGUUUACACAUUGGACACGUGCAGUGCUCACUGAGCCAU